AAAAGAGUUAUGUUUAAAAAGUAUAUAUAUAAAACGGGUCUGGUUCAAAGGCCAUGUUAUUUUACACUGCUUUCUGACCGUUAGAUCUACUUAAAUUUAAUGGUCUUGAUUAGUUUCCCUCAUGAUGUGGAAAUGAUAUGGAAUUAAUUUUGUUUUCUCAACCAAAAAGUAGAUAUUUGUUUUCUCAACCAAAAAGUAGAUAUUAUGAGAUUCUCAGAGGACAUGUCAUUGGCAAUUGUCAAUGCAACCUUGCACAGUGAAGAACCCAGAACUUGAGUGGCGCUUGAUACAAGAAGGUGGAAAUAAGAGGUUUUCAUGCAGCUUACUUCUCGUCGGAGGUCGAAGCAUAUCUUUGAAUCUUUCAUUAGUGCUCUAUCACAGUUGAUCUCAGUCACAUCCUCACAAAUUGAAGAUUUGAAGGCAAUGUUUCAGGCUGAUAGUUCCUAUAAUUAUAGUUAUCAUCACCAAUCAACCAAUAUCACGUGGUUCACCAUCACAUAUGAACCCUAACUAAUUUGUCCCCAAAUUGAAAAUUGUUACCAUCAAAUUCAAGCACCGGCCCAACCUUCGCCGAUCAACCACACUAACUAGUUUUACUUUUUCUUUUUCUCAAGAACACAACUCGAUCUUCUCUUCUUCUUCUUCUAUGUAUUUCUUUGACCGGAAACUUCAAUGUAUUUUUAAAAGUUUUAUUCUGAUUAUGUUUAUUUUUUAUUUUUGAAAGGAUUCUGAUUGUGUAUAUAAAAUUACUAUAAUUUUAUAUAUUUUUUGGUUGAGAAAUCAAAACUAAUUCCAUGUCAUUUUCACAUCAUGAGGGAAACUAAUCAAGGCCAUUGAAUUUAAGUAGAUCUCAGAAAAAAGUGUAAAAAGUUGUGUAAAAUAACAUGGUGCUUGGUCCUAACCCAUAUAAAACUAUGCAUAUUUAUUUCCAGUUUCACUAUGCAUGAGUUGAUGGAAGCUUAACAAAUUAAACUAUGGAUGAUACGACGACAAAUUUAGUGUUCAUAAAUUGUGUAUAUGGGAUGGCUGUCUAUCAAAAUCAAUAACUCUAACAGUAACUCUAACACACCAAACCGCACUGAAGGAACAAAAAUAAGAACAAAAUAAACUGAUAUAAAAUAAUUUGUUACCUGGUGCAACAUAUCCAUAUGUGCCGGCAAGGGCAGUCCAAUUAGCUGAGUCUGGGUUUAGGAACUUGGCAGUGCCAAAGUCUGAAACACAUGCCUCAUACUCUACAUCCAGCAAAAUGUUUUUGCUCGAUAUGUCCCGAUGCACAAUUGGUGGCAAGCAAUCAUGGUGCAUGUAACAAAGGGCAUGAGCUACCCCUUUAACAAUAGUCACCCUUUUACUCCACCACAGUUCCUUAGUUUCCUCAUCUUUGCUCAACACUGCAGCCAAAUUACCCUUUUCAAGAUACUCGUACACCAAAAAAGAAUGUCUCCUAUGUGAACAGAAACCAAAAAGCUUAACAAUAUUCCGGUGACGCAUCUCAGUUAGCACCCUGAUUUCAUUCAAGAAUUCCUUUUGAAGACUCUUAUCAUCAUCGCAUGGCAAAUGGAGUUUCUUUACAGCUACUAUGUCAUCAUUCAACAAAGUUACUUUGUAGACGCUUCCAUUUCCUCCCUUCCCAAUGCAAUACACCGGAUCAAAAUCCUGUGUUGCAUUAAUGACUUCCUCAUACAUCAUUUUUCCAUUGAAACUCAACACAGAUAAAGAAAUCUCUUCAUCCCUAGACUUUUCUUCUACACGCUCAUGCUUCUUUUUCCUUUUUGUUAACAAUGCAAAUAUAAACGCUAGAAGUGCAAAUGCUCCAAGAAUAGGGAAGAUUAUCAUAAAUACAAGUUUAUCGUCCUUUUUUUGGCUUUCUUUGUUGCAGAGUUGCAAGAAACUGGAGUUGCCACACAACCCUUUGUUUCCUUCUAGUGCUUCUCUAGGAGCUGAUUGAAAUGCUUUGAUGUUCGGGAUUGAACCUUCCAAGUGAUUGUAGGACACGUCAACAUAUGUUAGCCAAUGCAUGUCUCCCAUACUUGUUGGAAUGAAACCAGAAAGAUUGUUGUGGGAUAUAUCAAAUACUUCCAGACUCUGCAUUUUGCUAAUAUCUGAUGGUAUCUGACCUUCAAGUGUGUUAUAACUCAAAUCUAGUUGGGACAACUGAGUUAACAUCUCCAAUUGAAAUGGAAUUACUUGACCGAACUUGUUGUUGCUUAAAUUCAAGUAAUGUAACUUGGUAAAGUCACCUACAAAGCUUGGAAUUGAAUCAUUGAAUUUGUUUGCUGAGAGAUCAAAAUAGUCUAGAUCAAUCAAUGAUUUAAACUCUGCAGGGACACCACCUGAAAGUUGAUUGUCUUGCAACAUUAGCUUCUCCAAUGAAGUCAAUCUCCCAAACUCCUUGGGAAUCGUCCCGACUAAACGAUUUGAAGAGAGAUCUAGCUUUUGAAUUUGGCUUGCGUUACCAAUCUCUGGUGGUAUUGGACCAGUAAGGUUAUUGUUGGCAAUUAGUAGGGUCGCUAGAUUUUGGCACCGUCCCCAAUUUUGAAAGAGUUCACCAUAAAAAUUAUUGUCACUCAGAUCCAUAAAAUUCAGAUUUGGAUAAACACCAAAGUGUUCUGAAAUGUUGCCUGUGAAUUGGUUCCCAUUGAGAUGGACUAUGAACAAGCUCGUGCAGUUCUUGAAGCUUUCAGGGAUUGUACCAAUAAGAUGGUUGUCGCUUACUGAAAAGUAUGUUAGAGAUCCGCCUCGACAAAUGUUUUGGGGCAAAGAACCCGAAAAUUGGUUUGUAUGUAAUUCCAACUUAAUCAAUUUCUUCAUGUUUCCUAGCUUUUGAGGGAUGGAGCCAGAAAGUUGGUUCUCGUUGAUGUGUAAAAAUUUUAAGUUAUGCAAGUCAGCCAGUGUUUCCGGAAAUGAAAUAUUGAGUUGAUUGGUUCUCAGUUCUAGAUCUUCCAAAGAUCUCAGAUUCCCUAACUCUUUUGGAAUUGUGCCAGAGAGAUCAUUUGUGUCAAGAUAAAGAGUGGUGAGGUUGGUCAGAUCACCCAAACUUGUUGGAAUUGAACCAUUGAGUUGAUUGGUGCUCAACUGUAGAUCCACCAAAGAUUUCAAGUUCCCUAACUCUUUCGGAAUGGUGCCAGAGAGAUUAUUCGAAUAGAGAUAGAGAGUGGUAAGUUUUGUCAGUCCACCGAAUGUUUUGGAAUUGAACCACUGAGUUGAUUGGUGCUUAGCUCUAGAUCCUCCAAAGAUUUCAGGUUCCCUAACUCUUUUGGAAUGGUGCCAGAGAGGUUAUUCGAAUAGAGAUAGAGAGUGGUAAGUUUUGUCAGUCCACCAAAUGUUUUUGGAAUUGAACCACUAAGUUGAUUGAUGCUCAGUUGUAGAUCCACCAAAGAUUACAGGUUCCCUAACUCUUUAGGAAUGGUGCCAGAGAGGUUAUUUGUUUGGAGAUAAAGAGUGGUAAUGUUGGUUAGAUUACCCAACGUUGCCGGAAUUGAACCACUAAGUUGAUUGGUGUUCAACUUUAGAUCCACCAAUGAUUUCAGGUUCCCUAACUCUUCUGGAAUGGAUCCGGAAAGAUUAUUUUCAAAGAGAUAGAGAGUGGCAAGGUUGGUCAGGUCACCCAAUGUUGCCGGAAUUGAACCACUGAGUUGAUUGGUGGUCAACUCUAGAUCCACCAAAUAUUUCAGGUUCCCUAACUUUUUAGGAAUGGUGCCAGAGAGGUUAUUUGUAUGAAGAUAAAAAGUGGUAAGGUUGGUCAGUUCUCCCAAUGUUUUAGGAAUUGAACCACUAAGUUGAUUGGUGCUCAACUCUAGAUCCACCAAAGAUUUCAAGUUCCCUAACUCUUUAGGAAUGGUGCCAUAGAGGUUAUUUGUAUGGAGAUAAAGAGUGGUAAGGUUGGUCAGUUCACCCAAUGUUUUUGGAAUUGAGCCAGCAAUGUUAUUUUUGCUCAACAUCAUAAUCACCAAAGAUUUCAAGUUCCUUAACUCCUUUGGAAUGGUGUCAGAGAGAUUAUUCGAAUAGAGAUAGAGAAUGGUAAGAUUUCUAAGGAGACCAAUUUCUGGUGGAAUUCUCGCGGAAAACUGAUUAUCAGAGAGGUCAAGAUAAAGAAGUUUUGAGAGGGAACUGAUUUGAGGUGGGAUGACAUCAAAGAGUUUAUUGAUGCUGAGAUCAAGAUAUUCGAGAUUGGGGAAGGAUGAGAAUGAAAAUUCAUGUAGCAUACCUUGUAAGCCGGAACCAACAAUGGUUAUGUUGGUGACACUUCUAGCAGCAUUGCAUGAAAUACCAGUCCAAUUGCAUGGGCCUCCAUUUGCUCUUCGGUUGCUUGAAGAGUUUGUGGCAUUGGUAUCAAUACUCUUGGGGAGAUAAAUCCAAUCCUUCAGUUGGGUAUUAUGAGAGGUUUGAUUUAACAAGCUGGCUUUCCAUCGGAGAAGAGCCUCUGCUUCAGUAGUGGAACUAGCAGAAGCAAAAUGUGGAAAGUAGUUUUGUGAUGAAAGUAGGAGAACAUACAAGAAAAGACAAUAAACUAGAGGGCAUGCUUUUUCAAAAGUUAAGGAUCUCAUGGCUUUUGUUUACUUUGUUGGAGUAUACAGACUGCAAAUUAUGUUGUAGAUGUUAAACCCAAUUGGCUUUAUUUAUAGGCAUGUUAGACAUAUCUUCUUCCGUCAAUUGUGGUUCUUAUUUUUUGCGGUGUAAAUUGGAGUUUCUAAUACAUUCGAUGGAGUCAAAGUCUUUGUCCUUUUUGUAUUUACAGUGUAAAUGUAAAUGAUGGAGACAUUAAUUGACUGUUAGCGAAUGAUGAACUCUCUUUUUUUGGGCGAAAAGGAUGCAAAACAAGAAAAGAAACAGAAAUACACAAGCAGGAACAAAGCUACCUAUGGAGGCCUGGGAGGCUCAUCAAGCAUCAGCACAGCGAGAAGAGAAGAAGGAUGAUCUGCCACUCUAUUAGCGAAUGAUGAUUUGGACAAAGAAGACCUUUGCUUAACUCUGCUAAAGUACUAUAUGCAUCAUGUUCUUCUUUGUUUCCAUUGACACUCAUUCGUUUCUAUUGAAUUUUGGAAUUUCUGAUUUUUGGUGGUUAAAACUAUGUCACAGUUCGGUUUAAAAAAAAAUAUGACACAGUUUAAUGGAUUGUUAAUUGCCGUGUUACUUGGAUCAGUCAAGUCUUUAGCAGUAGCAUGUGUGCUUUGAAAAAUUAUAAAACAAGAAUUGAUGGUCUUUUUUUUUUUUUUUUGCAUUCCUCCCCUAAUCUGAAAUUAUUUUGAACUGAUAUGUUAUGAUUCAAGCAGGUCAUGACUCCAAUAAGGCUAUAGCUAUGGAGGAUUUGUUGCUUAGGUCAGUAUCAUAAGACAUGAAGGUGGUUCAAUGGAUUCUAUUUGGCCACGUUAUGAUACUGAAAAAUAAACGAGGUUGAGAACCACUGAAAAAUUUCACGAGAAAUAUGACUGUGACAGAUAGUUUUAUCUCUGUUGACACGUCGUUGCUGAUCACCAACUCGGGUGUUCGCAAGAAUUAGUCUUCAAAGUACUGAGCAGCAGUUAUUCCCAGUUUAUAGGUGUUUCAAAUUCUUCUCCUUCGUUCUUCUUCACUCUUCUUUUCUUUCCCAAUCAUGGUGGUUGUGUAGACUUCAAAGUCACUCUCUCUUAUCUUGACAAUUUAUUACAAGAGUUGGACAUUCAGAUCUCUAGUACUAAAAUUAAUUGUUUUUGCCACUUGCGUGAUGAACUGGUCAUAGGGACGACUGUAAAAAAUUUGUAAGAGCAAGACUACUUGUUGGUUCAUCAUUGGGGUUAGUUGACCGGUUAACAUGGGUUCUGGACCUGGAUCACUAUUUGUACAGCAGUUUCAAAAGGUUUAGUUAAAGAUUUUCGCUACCUAGCUAACCUACCACAGGGGAAAUCCUUGAUACUAUUAGCAUACAAGUACUUGUCUUGUUUUGGGUAAACGAGUUAGGAGUGACUUUAUCCCUUAACUCGAAAUUUUAUUGAAUGAAAAAGAAAUAUUACAAAAAAAAGAGGGAUGAUGCCUUAAUCUAUCUUACCAAAUAAUACAAAGUUAAGAACUAGAAAAGCCUGUGAAAAUACAACCCCAAAAUAUGAUAGCUAGUAACAACUGAAGAAACAAUAUUCAAUACAGCCUUCAAGCAUCUUAAAGAUAUUUAACGAGCCUGCAGCUACUAAAAUCUCAUAAUCCAACCCUAAAUGCCCAAAUAAGAAAAGUCCAAUAAUUAAAGACUACGUUGAAAUUACUUACUCAAACAAUAACUGAAAUAUAUAUAUAUAUAUAUAUAUUAUAUAUAAUAUACAGUUCCCUUCUAGAGUGGGACACCACUUUGAAAUUAAAGACUGAUACUCAUCAUUUCACUCACUUNNNNNNNNNNNNNNNNNNNNAUUAAAUAGAAUACAAAUAGAACAACAUAUAUAUAUAUAUAUAUAUAUUGUGUAAAAUGAAAGUAAAGAGAUUAAGAAAAGAGAGAAACAACCAAGAAAAGAGGGAAUAUGUAUAUCUUUCAUUGAGUUGAGAACUCUCUCUUAUAUAGAGAUGAGGUCAUGAGUAAAUUACAAUAAUAAUCAUAGUCGGUUAAUUACAAUAAUGUCUACUAACUAAUAACUAUUUACAACACUCCUCAUUGGAUAUUCUCUGUCAUUAGCUUCCUCUCAUGUGUGUUUCGGUGUUGCCUCGUCAAAAACCUUGUCAGGUAAUAAAAACCUUGUGGGAGAAAAAGAGCACAAGUUAACGCACAUGUAGGAGUAGUAAUAUAUAGAACUCCAGAUUUCGUUGAAGUAGUUUUCUCUGGACCAUAAAAUGUGAAUCUGUGGGAGAUAGAUGCAUAAUGGUUGCUACACCAAAACCUUGCCCGGUAAACCCAGUGGGACAAACCCGUGGUCAAAAGGAAAAGAUGAGCAAAUGCAUAUAUUUCAAAUAAAGGCAUCUUCAAAAUGAAGUAUGAGUAGGGUGACCAAUUAAAUAUGUGCCUCAAUAAAACCUUGUCAGGUAAGAAAACCCAAUGGGACAAAAUAAACCUGGACGAAGGACAAAAGAUUGCACAAUGGUCAAGAGUAUGCUUCAGGAUACGCCUCUUGAUAUUGACUCCCCUUGAAAACUACAAACUAGGUAAAACUAAUACUUUGAUCAUGCUUCUUGAAUAACUUAACAGUCAGCAUGAUUUAAAGAGGUUUUUGUGUCAUAUACCUCUAACAUUAAUGUAUUCCCUAUAGUAAAGACAUAACUAGUUGAGAAUAAACCUUGUGUGGGUUUACAUAACCCGUGUCAACAUAUCUAACAAGGCAAACAUCAUUAUGAGGAUCAUAGGCGGUUGAUCCAUUCCAUGAUGUCUAGGGAUACAGUAAGCCUUUUUUCCAUUAUACAUUUAAAGAAGCAAAAAAUUGUCUUUUAUGCCAUUUACGAAGGCAGCGUGCUGGCGCAUAGCUAUCUCAAGCUAAUAAAUUCAUAUCGGACGGAUGAUCGGUGUAAGGCAUUUGACCAAAUACAGUAAUGCGCCUAUUGUACUUAGAUUUGAGUCUUCUUGCCCCAAUAUAUCUUUGUUAUCACCUGCACGAUGAUACGGGUCUCACUAGACUUCAGACAAUUAUGAGCGUGCUUGAAGACUUUGUUUAAUCCUUAUUAAAGCAUCUUAACAUCUUCUAGAUGUGAAUUGAUUGAUGGACCAAAAUUCUAUUUGCACUUUGCAUGACUCCAGGUCGAGAAAAUGAUUUGGUCUCCGAAAGUCUUUUAUCUCAAACUCCGAUUUCAGGUGUUUUGAGGUUUUCUUGAUCUCUUCAACAGUAUCAAUUAAAUUCAUGCUAUUGACAUAGAACACCACAAAUUGCAAAACCGGAGUUUUUUUUUUCUUAAUAAACACGCAUAGGCAUAGUUCAUUGGUCAUAUAUCCCGCCCCAAACAAAUAUUCACUUAGGCGGUUAUACCAACUCCAUCUAGAUUGUUUUAACCCAUAAAGUGAACUACUAUGGUGAAUGAAGAGCAUGUUCUGUGGUCUAGAACUAUUUGUGUUGGGUAUCAGAAUUCCUUCGGGAAACUAUCUUGUAUAUCUCUAUAUUUUGAUCCCCAUAGAGAUAAGUUGUUACCACAUUGAUAGGCUACGUAUUUAGGUUUUCGGAAACUACCAAACUGAUAAGGUAGCAAAACGUUAUGACGUCCAUUAUGGGAAAGUACGUCUCAUAAUCAGUCACAGGGCGUUGAGAAAAUUCUUGCGCCACUAAACAAGACUUGUAAAUAACAAUCUCAUUUUUCUCAUUACGCUUCCUUACAAAAUACUCAUUUAAACUAUACAGGUUUUCCAUGGGAGGUGUGGGAACAACAGGCCCGUAACACCUUUCUCUUAGUUAAGUAAUCUGAUUUGACAUGGAUUGUUUAUUUCCUUAAAGCCAGUUGUCUCUUCGUUGAGAUCCAUCAACGAAACAAGGUUCGACAUCAUCGCUUAUUAUAAUUUUGGUGGCCACUGCAAACACAAUCAUAUCAUCGAUGAAAUCUCAUUCCAAUUCAAAAUCUCACUAAAUUUACCGAGAUUUUAUAUUCUCGGGAGUAGGUUUAAAUGUUGGAGUGUCCCCCAACUUUGUCUUUUCUAGGACGAACCCAUAAUCUGGAUUAAUCUCGUGAGUUGAAUUCAUUUGAGGUUACGAUGGCAAGAAGAUUCAUUUGUGCCAAAUUUACCCUCUUCUAGGGAUAAGAAUCGUUCGAACCUAAUGGUAUACCUCGCUUCUGGGUAGGGACAUAUGACUGGUUAGCCGCCAUGGCCGUACCUCAUCCAACUUGGACGAUACAUCCUACGAGGACGUUUAUCCUUACAGGUUUGCAGCAGGUAUAUAUGAGCUCGUCACUUUAACUAAAUCUAAUAAAGUGUCUGGCAUAUUAUGGGCUACACUACGUAGAUCUAGAAUUCUUUAUACUUCAACUAAAAGUAGAAUUUUAUACUUCAACUAAAAGUAGAAUUCUCCGCACUUCAAUAUCACAUGUGCAGUUUGGGGAUCAAGAUGAGACAUUCUAUAUGUCGUUCAUCAGGAACGGUGACAUUCUUAUCUCUCCCUAACGGCGGGAAGACUGUCUCAUCAAAGUGACGACCGCAAAUCUAGUGGUAUAGAGAUUUCCUGUCAAAAGAUCUAAGGAGCACAUAAUGGAUAGGGUUCAUAAUUGACAUAUAUGCUCAUCCUUUGUUGAGGACCCGAUUAUGUACAUUGUGGCGGCACAAUUAGCACGGAGACUACAAACCCAAAUGCGUGUAAGUGUAAAACAUCAUGUUUGCACCCAGUCACCAACUAUAACACGAAAUAAGGUGGGUAGCAGUGGGCCUCAACGGGACCAACAUGGCUGUAUGCAAGAUUGCAUAUCCCAACAAACACACUAAAAGCUUGGUGCGUAUUACCAAGGUUCUAUCUACCAGACCAUAUAUCUUGGGUGUGAACAUAGGAAACUAAAAGUUCAUCAUCGUACCCACGUGAUAUGCAAUAAUCAUCGAAAGUCUUCGAUGUAAACUCUACGGCAUUAUCAAGUCUUAUAGACUUUAUGGGAUAAUUUGAGUGGUGUACCCUUAAUUUCAUGAUUUGGGUGAGAGUUUAGCAAAAACAAUAUUUUCUUGUGGACAGUUGUGUGACAUUUGAUCACUUUUUUCGAUGCAUCAGCCAAAACCCUUAAUAUUUAACUGGCCGUAUGGUGGUUGGAUAGGUCCACGAAAUUUUUCUUGCAUUCGGCGCAUAAAUAGAUAGUGUAUAUUCCGGUCUUUGCAUAUGAUGGUAUAGUGUUCAAUAUUUUUUAUCGAGCAAGCUGGCAUAAUGUGUCACUAAACACAAGACCCUUAUUCUGAAGGGGAUGCCCAUGUGAUAAGUUGAGGAUACAAUUUUACCUGGGUGUCCCAAACAGUAAUACUAAUUUAAGUAUUUGCUUAGAUCAAUUUAGCUUCUUGCUAAUAGAUUAUAAUAUCUCUAACGUACGUUUCUAGCCGUACUGUCAGAGGUUAUGCAAAGAUAUUUACACUUUUGUUUUCUUUCAGUGGUUACGAUUUUUAACCAUUGGUUGGAAUAUCUGAUCAUUACCUUUCAAUAAUGUUCUUUUGAAACAUAGAGGAUAGGCCUCGUCACCCAGACAAGAACUCGCAAUUUCUUAAUAUCGAUAACCCAUAUCAAUUUUGAUUUAGAUUCUAGGCUAGGGCAACAAGCCCUUCCAUUUCAAUAUUCUCUUAUUAUGUCUUGCUUCAAGCAAGGAAAAUGUCUAGUUCAGAUGGUUUCUUCUGGAGACUUCCAAUUAACAUGAUAUGAAUAAAGGCUAUUGAUUUUAUCAUGUCUGGGAAUUUAUGAAUGAAACUUCAAGUUCAUUAAGUGGGUUAUUAUCAAAACUACAAGUUCGAUUUAUAUACCAACUACUAGUUCAUUUUUGAACUACCGGCUCAUUAGGUACAUGUAUUUUCAAAUUAGAAUCAUGUAAUAACAAUUGAUGAUAUUAAUUUCACGCUACUAAUUUAGCAUAGUGAAUAUGUCAAACAAUUAUGUGUAAAUGCUUCUAGCAAUUAACUACACAUUAAAUAUGGUGAAUAUAUUAACAACAGCUAUUAUGAGAAAGUAUUUGGAGUGCCUUAUAGACAUACAUAAUGACUAGGUACGAAAAACCAGUGUCAUUAGAUUAUUUUUCUUUUGUUUGAUUCUGCUGGACCAAAUGAAUUGACUUUAAUUAAAGUGAAAGAAAUAAACAUUUACAUACUUUACAAGCCUACGGGGCACAAUUUGGGAGGUAUGCUGGGAUUCUAGGUCCUGUAAAGGGAGAGUGAGCCUACUAAGCUCAUAAUGGUCUGCCAAGAAAUGCAAUGUUAUUAGUCAACCCUUUCGGUAACUCUAAUUGUAUAAGACCAGGUAACACAUGAUGAGGUGGUGGUGGAGCGAGGCUCACUUCAGUACAUAUCCUCAAAAGAACUUAUCUAGACAUCACAUCCAAUUGGGUGAGUCUAAUUUGAGAAGAGUUAUAAUUAUUGUCACGGACUCAAGGCGACAUGUUGGGGUGUACAGAGUACAAGUAAGUUGUAGAUGUUAAACCCAAUUGGCUCUAUUUAUAGGCAUUUUAGACAUAUAUUCUUUCAUCAAUUGGGUUCUUAUUUUUGCGGUGUAAAAUGGAGUUUCUAAUACAAUUUGAUAGAGUCAAAGUCAUUGUCCUUUUGUAUGUAUAAUGUUAAAAUUGGAAGUUCUAAUUUUUCCAAAUUUUGGGUGUUUAGUGACGACUUCACAAGAUUAUUUUUCCAAAUGCCAUGAGUAAAAGGGAAGAAAAUGUAAAGGAUGGAGACAUUAAUCGACUGUUAGCGAAUGAUGAUUUGGACAAAGGAGACCUUUGCAUAACUCUAUUACUGACAUAGAAAAAUUGAGCUUCUAUUAAGAAGUGACAACCAACUGGAAAUCUGGAAUCUUUAUGCUCAUCCACAACUCCACAAGUAUAUCAAGAUGAGAUAGAGACUAUAUCUUUUUGCUUCCAUUCAUUUCUAAUUGUUGGUGGUACUUAUAACUAUGACACAAUUCUUUUCCAAAAAAACCUAUGACGCAGACACACAGUUUGAUGGACUUGUUAAUUGCCGUGUUAAUUGGUUCAGUCGAGUCUUUAGCAGUAGCUUGUAAAUUGAAAAAUUAUAAAACAAGAAUUGAUGGAUUUUUUGCAUUCCCCUCCCCUAAUAUGAACUGAUAUGUUAGGAUUCAAGUAGGUGACUCCAACAAGGCUAUAGCUAUAUUAGUUGAAGCCAAGUAGUUGAUGAAAAAUUCCAAUCUCCGAUUCUAGACAUGCCUUUGAUUAAGUAUUGUUGGAUAUGUCACUUAAUUUAUACAUGCUAUAUGUGUUCUCUCUCAUGUCCUAACUUGUUAGGCUAGUCACUGCUUAAACCACACAUUUUCUAAUUGUAGCUAACCUCUUGGGAAAAUAAUUUUUGCAUAUUUGACAAGCGAAAGAUUUAUUAUCUCACCACUCCACCGGACAUUCCCUCUACCCCUAUCGUAUUCCAGCUUGGUACAGUAGUUGAGUCUGUUAAUCAUUGAUACGGGUAUAGUCAAGAGUCGAGACAAACCAUACAACAUUAAGUGAAUGGAGUGUUACGUGCACAUGAUGAGCUUGAAAAUUCUCAGUGUUAUGUGUUUGCACGAAACCCAAGUGAUUUGUGGCUGGGCUGUCUUGUUGAGCCUGCUUGUCAUUACUGGGCUUUAAGAAUCUCACUAUCAGACCAACUCUAUGGGAGUUGGGACCUUCAUCUUCAGGCUUCAGCUACGAAGAGGUCUCAGGGCAGCAGCGCAGCUCCUCUCCACUGGUUCAAUAUAUAUUUCUCCACACUAGACACUCUCUUUUACUGCAACCUGUCGCGGAGGUUCGUACUUCCUAUCAUUCAUCAAUUUUUUUUUUCUGUCAUGGCAUUCCCUUUUCUCUUCUUCUUUGGUAGAUUUUGAUCCAACUUUUUACAUCAGGAAAUAAGAUACCCACACUUGACACCCAAAUGAUAAAACAUGGGUUUGAUUUUGUUUGUGAAAUCAAAUAAUUGAUAGAUAGAUAUAUGGUGAUAUUAUGCAUCUGUUUACUUGCUUAAUUGGUCCUCGUUUGCUACUGUUUUGAACUUGCUGCCUGAAACAAACCCCUCAAAAUGUAAUAAAAAAUAGUGCAGACUCCAAUCUUUCAGAAAGCAAUAUACAUCGAAAGCUAGUGUUGAAAAGAACUAUAUAAAUCUCUAAAUAUGAUACAAAAAAAGAUCAUCUAUUUGUACUGCUGCGAGUUGUAUGUAAAGAAAUGCAUAGAUCAAUUUGUAAUGAUUGAUUUAAGUGUAAUGUCCUGCUGUCUGUAUGAGAAUGCAUUUUGGGAUGAUAGCACCUGAGAAACCAUUUGCAUUGUUGGCCGUGAUUGUGGAUGGGAAUGUCUGCACUGGAUUGCCAGUCUUGCAAUGGUUAUCAGCUCAUCCUCAACAUCAGGUGUCGGAGGGGGAAGCCUUCGGUCCAACAAAUCCAUCAGCAACAUGUUUUCAUUCGCUGAAGGACUUGGAAAUGAGGAGACCACAUCACCGAGAUGCUUCCCCAUUAGGACUUCUAGUGCCAGUACUCCAAAGCUAUAUACAUCGCAUUUCUCAGUUACCUUCAUUGUGAAAGCGAGCUCUGCGAAAGGAAAAAGAACAAACAUAAACCACUUGAUCUAGAAUUGAAUGAAUAUAUAGAAACACAGCUAGGUAGUUUACCUGGGGCUACAUAUCCAUAUGUUCCUGCAGGGGCUGUCCAAUUUGAUGAGUCUGGAUAUAAAAGCUUGGCAGUGCCAAAGUCUGCAACACAGGGCUCAUAAUCGCCAUUCAGCAAAAUGUUGUUGCUUGAUAUGUCUCGAUGUACAAUAGGUAGCACACAAUCAUGAUGCAUAUAAGAUAAGGCGUGAGCCACGCCUUUGACUAUGUUCACCCUUCUACUCCAGUUCAGUUUCUUUGCUUCUAAUUCUUUGCUCAAGUUUGCGGAGAGGCUUCCCUUCUCUAGAUACUCGUACACCAAAAAGGAGUGAUGCGCAUUUGAACAAAAACCAAGAAGUUUCACAAUGUUUCUGUGUCGUAUCUCUAGUAGUGCCCUUAUUUCAUUGAAGAACUCCUUCUGAGAUGCCUCAUCACUAUCAUGUACUGGAUAGAGUUUCUUCACCGCAACUAUACUGCCAGAUGGUAGCUUUGCCUUGUAGACAGUUCCAUAUCCACCCUUCCCAAUGCAAUAUGCAGUGUCAAAACUGUUAGUUGCCUCCAUGAUUUCUCCAUACAUUUUUCUUCCAUCAAAAUUGGCUAUGGCAAAGACUUCAUUCUGCAUGUAGCUCUCUGCAGUGUGUUGGUUUUUCCUUCUUCUGCUUCUUCUUCUUCUUCUUCUUAUCAAGGCAAUUCCAAGAAAAGCAAGCAAAAGUACUCCCAGAACAGGAAACGUGAUUAAAAACACUAGUUUUCUAUUCUUGUUUGAGGUACUUUUAUUUCCUGCAUAAGGAUUGCAGGGUUGCAGUCCUACAGCAUUGCCGCACAAUCCAUUAUUCCCAUCCAAGGAAGCAUUUUGAAAUGCUUUGCUGUCAGGGAUGGCACCCUGCAACUGAUUAUAGGAUAUGUCAAUGUACAACAAGCCAGGCAUUUGAGCAAAAGAUGUUGGAAUGACUCCGGAAAGAUUGUUAUGAGAUAGAUUCAAAUCCUCCAAGCUCUGCAGCUUGCUCAUUUCUGAUGGUAUGCUACCCUCAAGUGAGUUACGACUUAAAUCUAGCUGAGACAGUUGAAAUAAGUUCCCCAACUGUAAUGGAAUUUCCUGACUGAACCUGUUGUUGCUAAGAUUCAAGUAGGUUAAUCUCAACAUGUCACCUAUAAAGCUUGGAAUUGACUCGUUGAUGUUGUUGGUGGACAGGUCUAUAUAUUCAAGGUCAGUCAGAGAUGCAAAUGUGGAGGGUAUAUGACCAGAAAGUUGAUUAUCACCCAACUUCAGAUUCACCAAACUUAGCCUCCCAAGAUCUUCUGGAAUCACACCAACGAAAUGAUUGGAAGAGAGAUCAAGCACCUGAAUUUGAGUUGCAUUACCAAGCUCUGGUGGUAUAUUACCAGUAAGGUUGUUACCCGCGAUUAGGAGGCCUGUUAACUGUGGGCAUUGUCCCCAGUUUUGUGAGAUAUCACCAUACAACUUAUUGUUGCUUAGAUUUAUAUAAUCAAGAUUUGGAUACACACCAAAGUCUUGAGAUACAUUGCCAGUCAAUUGGUUCCUUUCAAGACGUACUCUGAAUAAGCUCUUGCAAGUUUUCAAGCUAUCAGGGAUUGGACCUAUUAAAUAGUUGUCGUAUGCUGUGAAGUUUUGGAGCAAUCCACCUCUGCAAAUGUUUUGGGGCAGAUAACCAGAAAAUUGGUUGGUAUCCAAUUGCACAAUUGUCAGAUCUGUGAGAUUUCCUAUCUCUUGGGGGAUGGAGCCAGAAAGUUUGUUGUCACGGAGAAACAAACUUGCUAAAUUGCUCAAGUUACCCAAUGAAGAUGGAACCGAGCCAUUUAGUUGAUUCUGACUCAAUUGUAGAUCUACCAUAGAUUUCAAGUUCCCUAUCUCCUCAGGAAUUUUGCCAGACAGUCUGUUUGAAUAGAGAUAAAGAAGAAAAAGGUUUGGCAGAUCACCUAUGGAUGGUGGGAUUGAACCAGAAAGAUUGUUUGAUUGAAUGCUCAGUUGCUGAAGAGACUUCAUGUUUCCUAUUUCUGAAGGGAGAGAACCAGAAAGGUUGUUGUAGGCCAAGUACAAGACAGUGAGAUUUUCCAAGUUUCCAAAAGUUGGAGGGAUAGGACCUGUGAAAUGGUUGUCAUCCAAGUACAAUUCAACCAAUUUUGAUAGGUUUCCAAUAUCUGGAGGAAUGUCACCAGAAAGCUGAUUUCCAAAGAGAUACAAAUUUGUCAUGUUGGUCAAAUUACCUAAGAAGGCUGGAAUAGACCCUUCUAGAUUGUUGGUGUUCAGAGCAAGCUCAUAAAGAGAUUUGAGCUGGCUCAUUUCUUCAGGAAUCGAGCCAUUUAACUGGUUUCCGUUUAAGUGGAGGACUUGAAGAUUUGUUAGGACGCCAAUUUCUGGUGGGAUGAUCCCAGUUAACUGAUUGUAAGAUACAUCAAGGUAAAUGAUUUUGGAGAGGGAACUAAUCUGAGGUGGGAUGGUGUCGAAAAGUUCAUUGGCACUGAGGUCAACAUAUUCAAGAUCAGGGAAGGACUGGAAAGAGAGUUCAUGCAGCGUACCUUUUAUACCAGAAUUGGUAAGGUUUAUCCGGUUGACACUUCCAGCAGCAUUGCAUGAAAUACCGGUCCAAACAUUGCAUGCACUUGAAGAAUUGGUGGCGUUACCAGGGAGGGAAGUCCACGAGGUGAGAUUGUUAUUCCCGGUUUGAUUCAGAAAGCUGGCUUUCCAUUUGAGAAGUGCUUCUGCUUGUGUAGUAGAAUCAGCAGAAGCAAGUUUUGGUGAUGAAACCAACUCAAGAAACAAGAUAAUGCAAGCUAGAGGGCAUACAUAAUCAAAGUAAGUUGAAGGCUUCAUGGCUUUUGAUUCUGCAAAAAGGAUUAUGAUCAAGGGUCCUGUGUAUAAUGCCUUUCUCAUUCAUCAGUGUUCAGAAAUGAAACGUCUCUACCAGUAAUCUUAUAAUUGUUCUUAUAAUUGUUUAUUGCAUUAUGAACUAUAGGAAGGUGUGAAAGAGUCUUUAAUAGUGGGAAUUUGGACAUUUUAUUCAAAGUCUUCGCCUAUUUUUUUGACAUUGGAAUCUAAACUACUAUUUCAUUUCCUUAUGAAAUUGGUGGGCGAGGUUGGUUCAAGGUGGAAGAUAAUGCCUUAUCGACUUGAUUGAACGUCAUUCAAGUUCAUAUAGAUGCAAGUAUUGAUGUCUUCUCCUGUUGAUUUUGAAAAUUUUCCAAAGUUGAGUGGUGAAGCCCCGCCUUGGUCAUCUUGCUCUCCUAGGUAAGUCUCUCGGUUGCUUCUUUACAAAAUGGUUCUUGUUGACAAAAUAUUCGUCACAUGUUUCAUUUCUUACUCUUUUUGUGGAAACGAGAAAUAGUGACUGUCCCUCCCCCAAUAUUUACUGAACUGUAAAUACUCGUCAGUCGUCACAUAUGUACAAUUUACGAAGCUUUACCGACGACACUUCGACAGCACAACUGGAUAGCAUUCCAGUUCCAAUAUACUUCACACUUGAUACGCUCGGAUACGUUCCCGAUACGUGAGGCUACGCUCCGUAUCCUCAUGGAUAUGUAAUUUUGUAAUUGAAUUGGAUGCCCGGGGGUAAAAUUGACAUUUUAGCCUAAUAAAAUUGAGAAAGAGACCUAAACAAUGAAUUUGGGCUAUGGAGGAUUGAAUAAAGUAAGAGUCUAUAUAUAGUUCUAUACAAUGGAGAUGUGAAGUUUGUGUAAUCAAUCAUGAAUUUGAGCUAUGUAGGAUCUAGGCAUUGUUACAAUCUGGGAGACUUCAUACAUGGUAGGCCUAAACUCAGGGUUUUCAUGUAAGCAUGCCGUUGCUAGUGUUAAGAUAGUGGCAACUUCUUUCAGAACUUUACCCGUGGGAGGGUCCAGGCGAUCGUCCAACAUUUCACCCCUCAUUUUGGCUUCCCUUGUUGCUGGUGAUGAAGGUAACCCAACUAGAUUGCUAGGGUACUUCCCUUUCAUGACCUCAAGCGCUAACACGCCGAAGCUAUACACAUCACAUUUCUCGGUCACGUUCAUUGUGUAAGCUAGCUCUGCCAGGAUAAGAGUGAACAUAAGACCGGAGUAUAUAAAACUUUUAUACAGGAAGGGAGAGAUAUGACAUGUUUAUGCACUAUGGCUAUGAAGAAUUAGGAGAAGAUAACAUGUCAGUUUGAGUAGUAAGAAAUCAGUUAUUGUUGUAUACAUUACCUGGUGCUAUGUAUCCAAUUGUGCCUGCAACGGCAGACCAAUUAGAUGAGUCAUGCUCCAGAAGCUUAGCAGUGCCAAAGUCUGCGAUGCAAGCCUCAUAGUCGGCGUCUAGCAAAAUGUUCUUGCUGGAUAUGUCUCGAUGAACAAUUGGUGGGCACACAUCAUUGUGCAUGUAGGAUAAGCCAUAGGCCACACCUUUGAUGAUAUUCACCCUUUUACUCCAGUCCAAUUUCUUAGCUUCUUCUUCAUUGCACAAGAUUGAAAACAAGCUGCCCGUUUCAAGGUACUCAUAAACCAAUAGAGAGUUCCUGGCAUGUGAACAGAAACCAUAGAGCUUCACAAUGUUUCGAUGGCGAAUCUCUGUCAAUGCCCUUACCUCGCUUAAGAACUCUUUCUGAUAGCUCCCCUCACCAUCACAUGGACUGUGGAGUUUCUUUACAGCUACCACUUCUUCUGAUGGAAGCUUUGCUUUGUAAACACUUCCAAACCCUCCCUUCCCGAUACAAUAUGCAGCAUCAAAAUUCUCAGUUGCUUUUACAAUUUCUUCAUACAAUAAUCUGCCAUCAAAAAGUGAUAUGGAACGCAACUCAAAUUGUGGUAGGCACAUCUCUUGUUGCCUUGUUUGUUGACAUGUCUUUUUCCUUAGUAACAUGAAGCAAGCAAAUGUAACUGCACCCAGGACAGGCAGUAUCAGUAAGCACGCAACUCUGACACCAGUUUUCGAACUGUGCUUCUUAUUUUCGGGUUCACUAAUGCAGGGAAGAAGACCUGUAACAUUUCCACACAAUCCCUUGUUUCCCUGCAAUGCUUCUAUUGCAGCCUCAUGAAAUGCCUUGCUGUGUGGGAUGGGACCCCAGAAUUGAUUGUAUGAUAUGUCGAUGUGCUCCAAGCCACGAAGUUUAUCAAAGCUCUUUGGAAUUACUCCAGAGAGAUUAUUGUGGGAAAUAUUUAGUGUCACCAAACUUUCCAAAUUACUAAGCUCGGUUGGUAUCUCUCCAUCAAGGCCAUUGUGACUCAAAUCUAGCACAGACAGCUGAGUUAAAUUCCUGAAUUGAGAUGGAAUUUUUUGGCUUAACUUGUUGUUGCUGACAUUGAUAUGGUGCAGCUUCAGAAAGUUACCUAGGCUACUUGGAAUUGACUGGCUCAAAAAGUUUGUGGACAGGUCAAGAUACUCAAGUUCACUCAGUGAUCCAAGCUCUUGAGGUAUACCACCAGAGAGUUGAUUGUUAUUCAGUAUAAGCUUCCCUAACAAAGUGAGCCUUCCAAGUUCCACAGGUAUGUUUCCCACCAAAUGAUUUGAAGAAAGAUUAAGCAACUGCAGUUGAGUCAAGUUUCCAAUCUCAGGUGGAAUGGUACCAGUAAGAUUGUUGCCUGCAAUCUCAAGAUUUGUUAGCUUCAGAGACCUACUCCAUUUCGGUGAAAGUUCUCCGUAGAAUCUAUUGUCACUUAGAUUUAUGUAAUCCAAGUCUGGAUAUUCACCAAAAUCUUCAGAUAUGUUUCCAGUGAGUUGGUUUCUAUCAAGGCGGACUCUGUACAAGGUUGUGCAGUUUUUCAGGCUUUUGGGGAUUUGACCUAUCAGAUGAUUGCUAUUUACAGUGAAAUUAAUAAGACGCCCUCCUUGGCAGAUAUUUGGAGGCAAAUGACCACUGAAAUUGUUUCUGGCAACUCUUAGCACAACCAGAUUCUUGAGAUUCCCAAUCACAUUAGGAAUGGAGCCGGAGAUUUGGUUGUCGCGAAUGUAUAGAACCUGUAACUUGCUAAGAUUACCGAUUGACAAGGGAAGAGGACCAGUGAGGUGAUUUUCCACGAGACUAAGAACACGAAGAGACUUAAGCUGACCUAUUUCUUGAGGAAUUGAGCCAUUCAACUUAUUUCUAUUAAGCUGUAGGGUAUGAAGGUUUAUGAGAAAAGCAAUUUCUUGUGGGAUUUUCCCGGACAACUGAUUAUUGGAGAGAUCAAGAUACAUGAGUUUCGAGAGAAAACUGAUUUGUGGGGGGAUGACACCAUAUAGCUUAUUUAUGCUGAGAUCAAUAUAUUCUAGAUUUGGGAAGGACGAGAAUGAAAAUUCAUGUAAUGUGCCUUGUAUACCGGAAUUGGUAAGGUUUAUUCUGCUGAUACUUCCAGCAGCAUUGCAUGAAAUCCCGGUCCAAAAACACAGGCUUGUAUUUGCUUUUUGAUCUCUAGAAGAAUUGGUGGCAAUGGGAAGGUAAGUCCACGAGGUCAGAAUAUGGGUUUGAUUUUGGAAGCUGGCUUUCCAUUUUAGAAGAGCAUUGGUUUCAGUAGAAGCAGAAGCAGAAGAAAAUUUUGGUGAAGAAAUCAAAUGAACAUACAGGAUAAGGCAAACUAAGGAGCAUACCUUAUCAUAAGCUGCUGAAGUUCUCAUGGCUUUUGUUAUGAUAUACGAUGAUGUGGCCUCUGUGCUUCAUUUGUAAUGCCAAAUGUUAUUCUGCGACCCCUGCUCAUAUUAAGGUUGAAAUUGGAAGAAGACUGGACAAUUUUGCACACUCCAGUCAAAGUCUUUCGGAAAUACUUGAUCGUUUUUUUCUUGUUCUAAGAAAAUGGUAUGUCGACAUUGCAGACAACCAGCUAAGAAAUGGGAUUUUCUCAUUGGAGUUGAAUGAAAUGAUAAACCAACCAGCUAGUGGUAGAGGAGAAAGGUAUCUUUCAGCAGUGGAACAAUUUGGUCUUAUUUGUUCUAGAGUUUGUUUCUAUCUGCUUUAUUUUCUUCAGUUUGCUGCUUAAACUUGCAAGCCAUUUUAUUUGACUUGGUGAUAUUGUGGUUGUUGAAAAACAACAGAGACUUCCUACCAAAUAUCUUGCACUUAAAAGGAGAAAUCAAAUAAUGAUACUCCAAUACAUAGACCGUCAAGAAUGUAAGUCCAAGUCUACAUAAGAAUAGCACCAUUUACCUAAAUUUACAUAUCUAGAAACUUUGCUAGAUAUUUGUGUUACAUGUACAACAAUAUGCCUGCGGGUUGAAUACAAGAUCGAGUCUAUACCAAGAUUUAUCUCGGUUAAUUAGUAGCUGCUAUCUAACUUAUGCAAAGAAGAACCAAGUUCAGAUUCUGCUCCCUAAAUAACAAAUACAGAUUGAGUCUUGUAUUUGUCUAAGUCUGUCUGAGAGAUCUGCAUUGUUAUAAUCUGAGAAACAUCAUACAUGGUAGGCCUAAACUGUGGAUUUGGAUGUAGGCAUGCGACAGAUAGCAUUAAGACAGUAACAAGUUCCUCUAGAGUUUUACCCAUGGGAGGUUCAAGGCGGCCGUCCCACACAUCUUCAGGCAAAUUUCCUUCUCUGAUUGCAGCUGGUGACAACAAAGACCGGAUUAGAUCACUCGGGUACUUCCCAUUCAUUACUUCUAGUGCCAACACUCCGAAGCUGUACACAUCACAUUUCGCGGUCACCUUCAAUGUAUAAGCAAGCUCUGCAAGGGUAAAUACUAGAAGUUAUGAACUUAUGAUAUACGCAGACAAUGAUUUAGACACAUUGGAACAUGUUAUGUAACAAAAUCAUUAAUGGAUUCAUAUUUGAGAUUUGGAUGUGUUAUGUUACCUGGUGCCACAUAUCCGAAUGUGCCUGCAACAGCAGUCCAGUUAGAUGCAUCAAUCUCUAGCAGCUUAGCAGUGCCAAAGUCCGAAAUGCAAGCCUCAUAUUCUGCAUCUAGCAAAAUGUUCUUGCUGGUUAUGUCUCGAUGAACAAUUGGUGGUGAUACAUCAGAGUGCAUGUAUGAUAGGCCAUCAGCCACACCUUUGAUGAUAUUUACCCUCUUGCUCCAAUCCAAUUGCUUGGCUGCUUCUUCAUUACACAAGAUUGAGAACAAGCUACCCCUCCCAAGGUACUCAUAGACCAAAAACGAGUGUCGUGAAUGUGAACAGAAGCCAUAAAGUUUCACAACAUUCCGAUGGCGUAUCUCAGUCAAUGCCAUCACCUCGUUUAAGAACUCUUUUUCAAAGCUCCUCACACCAUCACAGUGGAGUUUCUUUACUGCUACCAACUCAUCAGAUGGAAGCUUUGCCUUGUAUACAGUUCCAACGCCUCCCUUUCCAAUGCAAUAAGCAUCAUUAAAAUCUUCAGUUGCUUUUACAAUUUCUUCAUACAACAAUUUUCCUUCAAAAAUUGACACUGAACGAAGUUCAAAUUCCUUAGGCUGCAUGGCCUCUUCAUCUGUUUGUUGACAUCUCUUUUUUUUUCUGUAAGUGAAAAAAACUCCACAGAAAAGAAGUACAAGUACUCCUACCACAGGUGGGAAUACCAAGUACACGAGCUUCAUUUUGCCAUGUGUCUUACUGCAGGGCUGUAAAGCUGUAGCGUUGCCACACAGACCUUGAUUCCCUUGCAAUGCUUCUAUAGGAGCUUCUUGAAAUGCUUUGUUUUCUGGAAUUAAACCCGAUAAUCGAUUGUACGAUAUGUCAACGAACUCCAAGCCACGAAGGUGAUCAAAAGUCUUGGGAACAACACCAGAGAGGUUAUUAUGGGACAGAUUCAUUGUCAACAAGCUUUCCAAAUUACUAAGCUCCGUUGGUAUCUCUUGACUAAGAGAAUUAUGACUCAAAUCUAGUACAGACAGCUGCUUCAACUGACCCAACUUACUUGGGGUUGCAUGACUCAACUUGUUGUUGCUCAAGUUCAGGUAGUGCAUUUUCACAAGGUUCCCCAGACUACUAGGAAUCGACUGGCUCAAGUUGUUUUCAGACAGGUCAAGCAACUCGAGGUCAGUCAGUGAUCCAAGUUCUUGUGGUAUGGCACCAGAAAGUUGAUUAUCAUUCAGUAUGAGCUGAAUCAAAGAGGUCAACUUUCCUAGUCCUACAGGGAUUGUUCCAACUAAAUGAUUCGAAGAAAGAUUGAGCAAAUGUAGUUGAGACAAAUUACCAAUCUCAGGUGGUAUGGAACCUGUUAUAUUGUUACCUGCAAUCUCAAGAUUUGUUAGCUGCAGAGACUUGCCCCAUUUCUCCGAAAUUUCACCAUAAAAAUUAUUGUCACUUAGUUUUAUGUAAUCCAAGUUUGGAUAUACACCAAAAUCUUCAGAUAUAUUUCCAGUGAAUUGGUUCCCAUCGAGUCGAACUCUAUAUAAGGUUGUGCAGUUCCUCAAAUUCUCAGGCAUUCGGCCUAUGAGACGAUUUCCAUUGGCUGUGAAAUUGACAAGCACUCCACCUUUGCAGAGAUUCUGUGGUAAAUGACCAGUUAAAUUGUUUCUGGCAACUCUUAUCACAGCCAAGUUCAUAAGAUCUCCUAUCACUUCAGGAAUGGAACCAGAGAGUUUAUUGUCACGGAUGUAUAGAACCUGUAACUUGCUCAAGUUACCAAUUGACAUGGGAAUAGGACCAGUGAGUUGAUUCUCACAGGCAUUUAGAACAACAAGAGACUUCAAGCUUCCAAUAUUUUCUGGAAUUUGGCCGGAAAGAUUGUUCCGAUACAGCUCCAAUGAAGUAAGGUGUCUCAAGUCACAUAUGGAAUCCGGGAUACUACCAGAAAUAUUGUUUUUGUGAAGGCUGAGACUCCUGAGAAAAGCCAACUUACCUAUCUCCAAGGGAAUGGAGCCAACAAAUAUGUUCUCAAACAUGUAUAGCACUUUUAGCUUUCUUAAGUUCCCAAAAGUUUGUGGGAUCUGACCUGUAAGAUUGUUGGUAUUCAAGUAAAGCUCCACCAACUUUGAGAGGUUCCCUAUUUCUGAAGGAAUUGAACUAGUAAGAAAGUUCCUACCUAGAUUCAAGUAAGCAAGACUGCUAAGGUUCCCAAAAGAAGCAGGAACUGAACCAUUCAACCUAUUGGUAGACAAAUCAAGAUACACUAGUUUGGAGAGUUUACUGAUUUCAGUUGGAAUGGUACCAAAGAUUGAGUUCAUGCUGAGAUCAAAGUGCUCAAGAUUCGGAAAGGAGGAAAACGGAAAUUCAUUGAGCGUACCUAGUAAACCCAACUUGGUCAGGUUUAUUGUGGUGACACUAUUGGCACUGUUGCAAGAAAUGGCAGACCAAGUGCAUGUACUUGUUUCAUUUGGGAAGUGCUGAGAAAACCAUGAAGUUAGGUUUGAUUGAGGGUCUUGAAGACUGCUUAUCCAUUGCAGAAGAGCACCAACUUCAUCAGUAGAAACAGUUGCAGAAGCAACAAAUUUGGAAGGUGAAACGAAAACAACUAGCGUGAUCAGGAGAAAUUUCUGAAAGGUUGAUGCUCCCAUGGUGCUUACAAUGGUUUAACACCAGAGUAGAAUUUGCAGCAUUCUUCUAACUCUUGAUCAGUAUGUUCCUCUAAGAAAUUGAAAAGGUUUUGAUGAACCUGAAAAGUCUUCUGUUGUUUAGGUUUUUGAAAAGUCUUCUAUUGUUGUUUUAUGCAUAUGUUCUUACCAGUCCAUUUUUGAGGGUGGUACCAAACAGAUUUCUUUGAGGAUAUUAUAAUCUGUUCCUUUGGUCAACUUCUUUCAAAUUUUUAUUCCCAAUGAUUUUUAUUUUUUUUUUAUCCACAAUCAACUGAAAUGCUACAACAUGUCUAACAUGAGUCGAACUCAAUGAUUUUGUGCUCGGCCAAUGCUUUUUUCAAGCAGAAAUCAAACCAUAUUAGGGUGAUAAUCCCCAAGUAUAAAAUAGAAUCAUAUGCGUACAUAUUUGAAUUGGAUAAGCUGUCCAAAAAUGUCAUGCUGCAUGUCUGUAAGGAUUUUCCAAAAUAAUGUGUGUAUUCUAUAUAGGUGGAUUGAGACGUCGCCUGGAUUUUGAUUAAUUAGUAGAAGUUUACCGUCUGCUUACAUCAAGUAUCUAAUUAUUUGUUCUUUGUUGGUUGGUUAGAUGUCACUCACUCUUGCACUCCUUCGCUUGGGUUUAUGCUGUAAACAUAGUUUAUGCAUUUUGGUAGCUUGAUUCAACUGUCAUUACAAGAAAAAAUAGUAUGUCCGUCUUAUUUUUAAAUAUGGAACAUGAAUUAUUAGAGGAAGACUAUUUUUAAUAGUUCAUUUAUCAGGUAACAACUUAAAUGUUAUAAAUAACCGUCCGUCAAACUCAUAACCUCGAAUGCUAGUUGACAGUUUAUUUUGUUUAAUGAAGGCCAUUAAGCUCUAAACUAAUUGUCUCGGAAUAUAGUGAGACAUCUGCAUGAGAAAGACCAUAUGGAUGAAUAUUCAGAAUUUAGUAUGAACUUUGAACUUAAACUCCGGUCUUUCAUGCAUGAGAAAGACCAUCUGGAUGAAUAUUCAGAAUAUAGUGAAGUACACAAAAUAAUUUACCAGCAUAAGAUCAGCAUAAUCAAACUAAAUGAAAACGGCAGAUGGAUUCAGCUGCAAGCGUUAGAUCAGUGACUAGGUCAGCAGCACGUUAAGGUAAAAAAAUUUAUCAUAUAUGACCAAGUCACCAUAUCAAUCACCCAAACUCUGAUGAUGAUAAUCGAGUAAAACCAAAAGAAGCCAAGGAAGGUUCACCACGGAGAGGAAGGAUGAUAUAACUGGUGGUGCAAGAGUGCAAUGACUUAAAAACAAUCCAUAUAGGCCACACAAUGACUAACAUCAUGCAACUUUCUCACAUUCCUGGAGUUGCCUUUAGUUUAUAACAUCAUCCAUAUAGUUCAGAGAAAUCAAGACAUUACAAAGAACCAAAAGAAAUCUAACAAGGAGAAGAUAACUCAAUUAAGAUGCACUGCUAUAUAUCUUAUUCAAUAAAUUAUUAUACAUGGACACCUUGUGGUAAUAAAAUAACCUUCACACAACACUCAAUCUUGUAGCAGUCAAUUGAAAAAAAAAGAUGGAUGUAGAUCUUGUGUCAUGGAUGGCGUGACUCGAAAAUAUAGACCAAAUCUAGAAUUACAAGAGCAGCCAACAAGAGCUAGGAUCACUCCCCCAAAACCCACCACUCUUUUCUAAAGAAAACAAAAAUGAAAUUUUUGUAUAAACUGCAUCAGCUACAUGCAAUGGCACUUGAAUUCCGACCAAGUUAGGCAACCACAGCAUCAGGAGUUCCUUUGCAGGAUCAACUUUUAAAAUCAAUAAAGCAAAACAAGGGUGAUCAGGGAAAAGCUAAGAACCCAUUGAUAUAAGCUGAAAUGUGAGUUUUUACCCUUACCGAAAGAGUUUCAUCAAAGCAAAACAGCUAAGACCAGACUGCAAUCAGCAUGUACAUGACAUUGACAUCUACCAUAUCUGUGGUCAAAAUAGCACCACCAGCAUUGUUCACUCCUCCCAAAUUUCACCAACCAGAGUUUCA
rnacentral:lncRNA from 1 species